rnacentral:misc_RNA from 1 species
GAUGAAGAACGUAGCGAAAUGCGAUAAGUAAUGUGAAUUGCAGAGUUCAGUGAAUCAUCGAAUCUUUGAACGCACAUUGCGCCCGCCAGCAUUCUGGCGGGCAUGCCUGUUCGAGCGUCAUUUCAACCCUCGAGCCCCCCCGGGGGCCUCGGUGUUGGGGGACGGCACACCAGCCGCCCCCGAAAUGCAGUGGCGACCUCGCCGCAGCCUCCCCUGCGUAGUAGCACACACCUCGCACCGGAGCGCGGAGACGGUCACGCCGUAAAACGCCCAACUUCUUAGAGUUGACCUCGGAUCAGGUAGGAAUACCCGCUGAACUUAAGCAUAUCAAUAAGCGGAGGA